CCUUUCUUUGUGGCAGCGCUGGGAGGGGUCCCCGGUGCUGCUGCUGAGUGGGCUCGGGUGCCUCAGUGGCUGCGCUGUGUGAACUUCUUCACCGCAGGAGCCGCCCAAGGACCCCAGAAUGCCUUGGAAGUGACGAAAUGGCCCUGCAACCCUCCUGAUGCUGAUUCAAAGGCACUGACUGUAUUCUGUGUUCCUGAAGUCUGGAGUUAGAGAAGUCCAAGGCCAAGAAGACCCACCUGAAAAGGGCCAUAUUCCUGCAUCCUAACAUGACAGACGUCAUUACAUGAUGCUUGGACUGGAGGUCAUGUGACUAGAUGCAGUAGAAGUGGUGAGAGUG